rnacentral:lncRNA from 1 species
AUUCCUUAGUUUACGAAAGUAAAUUUUUGGGUAACUGAGUUAAAACGAGGUCGUACGAGCUGCCAAGACGAUGCAGUGGUCUAUCAAAUGAAGUGACCAUUCCAGAAAUAGUGAAAGCGGCACAUCGCAUAUUACUUCAAAAAUUUGGUCAUGAGAAAGCUGAGGCCUCAAAAUGGAAAUAUCUCGAGUUAAGAAUAAGAUAGAGAAUCAAUAAAAACAUUGCUAUAAUAAUAAAAAAAUCUCAUAUACUUGCAAGAAAUUAUGGGGUAAAAAUUUAGGAAUAACAAUAAAAAAGGCAACACGUGAGCAAUUUCUUUUGUGCCGCUGUCAGUCCCAAGAAGACUGUAGAGACCUUUUGCACUUCAUACCGACUUUGUACAACAACAAGAAGUCCAUUAAAGCACCAUGCAGUUAAGAAGUACCUAAACUUCUGCAGCAACAGUAUGGCUGACUUCUGGACUGCCUCAAUGUGGUCCUCCUGUGGCCUUGACCUCAACGCCCUGGACUUUGUAGUUAAAGGGUUUUGGAGAAGAAUAUCUGCCACACUUCUCAUCCAAAUUAGUAUUUGCUUCGAGUUGCCAACAUGAAAGCCAGGCAAACAAUGGACACGGCGUCAAGAGUUGCAUGCCGUGGCUGCUAUUGCUUGUGAACAAGGAGAUAGUAAAUAAAAAAAUAUAGCCAAAUAUAGUAUUUCAACAUAUUACAAAUGAGUAUUGAGUUUUCUAAUCUAUAUUCCAUGAAAUUCAUGUUGUUAUCUAUUUUUAAAUUCAGCCAUCCUACUGCAAGUUUUGGGUCUCCGGUCUAUAAUGUUAACUAUUUUGGAUACAACCAAUAAAGUAAAUAUAGGCACACCUAGUCUAUCAAUCUCU